rnacentral:rRNA from 1 species
AUUGAACGCUGGCGGCAUGCCUUACACAUGCAAGUCGAACGGUAACAGGUCUUCGGAUGCUGACGAGUGGCGAACGGGUGAGUAAUACAUCGGAACGUGCCCGAUCGUGGGGGAUAACGAAGCGAAAGCUUUGCUAAUACCGCAUAAGAUCUACGGAUGAAAGCAGGGGACCGCAAGGCCUUGCGCGAACAGAGCGGCCGAUGGCAGAUUAGGUAGUUGGUGGGAUAAAAGCUUACCAAGCCGACGAUCUGUAGCUGGUCUGAGAGGACGACCAGCCACACUGGGACUGAGACACGGCCCAGACUCCUACGGGAGGCAGCAGUGGGGAAUUUUGGACAAUGGGCGAAAGCCUGAUCCAGCCAUGCCGCGUGCAGGAUGAAGGCCUUCGGGUUGUAAACUGCUUUUGUACGGAACGAAAAGACUCUGGUUAAUACCUGGGGUCCAUGACGGUGCCGUAAGAAUAAGCACCGGCUAACUACGUGCCAGCCGCCGCGGUAAUAC